rnacentral:rRNA from 1 species
UACGAAUCGUCCAAACGUUGUUCGGAUUUACUGGGUUUAAGGGGCGCGUAGGCGGUGCGCUAAGUCGGUGGUGAAAUACUUCGGCUCAACCGGAGAAUUGCCGCUGAAACUGGCGUGCUCGAGGGAGGUAGAGGUGCGUGGAACUUCCGGUGGAGCGGUGAAAUGCGUUGAUAUCGGAAGGAACACCUGUGGCGAAAGCGAUGCACUGGACCUCUUCUGACGCUGAGGCGCGAAAGCCAGGGGAGCGAACGGG